CCUACGGGUGGCUGCAGUGGGGAAUAUUGGACAAUGGGGGCAACCCUGAUCCAGCCAUGCCGCGUGUGUGAAGAAGGCCCUCGGGUUGUAAAGCACUUUCAGUGAGGAAGAACGCCUGGUGGUUAAUACCCAUCAGGAAAGACAUCACUCGCAGAAGAAGCACCGGCUAACUCCGUGCCAGCAGCCGCGGUAAUACGGAGGGUGCGAGCGUUAAUCGGAAUUACUGGGCGUAAAGCGCGCGUAGGUGGCUUGAUAAGCCGGUUGUGAAAGCCCCGGGCUCAACCUGGGAACGGCAUCCGGAACUGUCAAGCUAGAGUGCAGGAGAGGAAGGUAGAAUUCCCGGUGUAGCGGUGAAAUGCGUAGAGAUCGGGAGGAAUACCAGUGGCGAAGGCGGCCUUCUGGACUGACACUGACACUGAGGUGCGAAAGCGUGGGUAGCAAACAGGAUUAGAUACCCGGGUAGUC
rnacentral:rRNA from 1 species